UCCACCUCCACAUCCACCUCCACACGGAGCAGGUGGUGGAGCACAUCCUCCGCCAC
rnacentral:sRNA from 1 species